CGAGCCACAGGACACGGAGCUGCAGACCAGGAUCAGGGCGGCGAGCAGGACCUCCACCAUCUGGCACCAGGCUGGAGGGGAGGCCGAGCUGCCCCAGCACAGAGCCUCUGUCUCCAGAUACAGUCACUAACAACUUGGGAUCUGUCCUGCCGUGCAGCUGUUAGGUUCCAGUUCAGCCCUUGGCAGACCAUGUUCAGGAGCAACAGCAAUAACCCUAUAGACUUAUAUGGUGAAAAGCCUAAAAACUGCACCUCAGCACUGUGGGAAAACACUCUCCUCGACACUUCACCUGAUUCCACAAAGGACUGGAGAUCUGAAAAUGCAUCUUAAAAUUUACUUUGGUUGUGGGAAGGAUCUGGUUUGGCUUGCCAUGGACCAAGAGCUCUGACCUGGUUCAGUGCCCUCCCUGGGAACUUGGAGGGUAAAGUGGUAAGAGCAAGUCAUGAGCUGCCUCAUAUGUCUCCAGUUUGAAGCAGCUGGGAGCUGCAGCACAAUCACUGCUGAACACCACAACCAGAUUUAUUGACUGUCCCACAUAAAUAAAUAAUCACAGGGACAAUGAGUGCAGCAUGAUGACGAUAGAGCAGUACUGUAGAAAAGAACUGGAGGUUACUGUGAAUGACAAACUGGACUCAAGUCCACAAUGUCAUCCUGUUGCGAAAAAACUAACAUUUCUAGGGUCUAUGAACAGGAGUGUCACAUGUAGGACAUGUGAAGAAAUUCUUCUGCCCCCACUUCAGCACUGGCUUGGCCUCAGUCUUGCACACUGUGUUUCCAGAGGCAAGUGGAUCAACUGAAGGGGAUUCAGAAGAAAGCAAAAGAAAUAUCUAGAAAUACAACCUAUGAGAAAAAGAUUGAUCACAGACAUCUCAUUUGAAAUAAUAAGCAUCUAUUAACAGCUUGCAAGCUUAUUAAUAGAGAGGUGUCUAGACAACUUGCAAACUUGUAAAAAACUCUUGUCAAGAGCAGGGAAAUGUUUUGUUCAUUCUGUUUGCUGUUGCAUGGUCAGGAAACAGAGAGCUUAGCUUGAAGCAAAAGGGAUUUCUUUUAGGCACCCUCAAUGUUUCUCACACACACUCCAACUGCACCAUUUUAUGAUAUGAACAGUUGUUGCAGGAGUGGAUUAGUCAGCAGAUGGUAGGUUUCCAUCACUGGGGCUGUAAUUCAGUCAUGGGAAGGCUGGCCUGUCUGUGUUCUUGUGAGAAGGAAGUGCUGGUGGUGCCCAUGCCACCCACUAUAAGCUCACAGUGUCAUCUCACCCCACAAAGCCACUGUGCCCCUUUCCACACCACCCCCAUUAGCUGGUCACUGUCCCAGUGGCUCCAAGGCCAUUGGAGGACAGCUGCUGUGACAUAUCAUGCAACAGCUCAAGUCUCUGAAGUCAUAAGUCAA